GUUCAUGGCCAUACCACCCUGAGUGUACCUGAUAUUGAAAGCUAAGUAGGGUUGGGCCUGGUUAGUACUUGAGUAGGAGAAAAAGGGGUGGUGGUGGCUU
rnacentral:rRNA from 1 species